CUUGCACUUCUGACUACAGGAGCCAUCAAGGUUUUAAACCACCAUCAAUGGCCCACACUUUUCAUAAUUACAGUAGGACCCCAGAGUUAUACUUUAUAUUUCUAGUUUCAGAUACAAGGAGGAU